rnacentral:rRNA from 1 species
CUAGUAUAAGCAAUCUAUACGGUGAAACUGCGAAUGGCUCAUUAAAUCAGUUAUCGUUUAUUUGAUAGUACCUUACUACUUGGAUAACCGUGGUAAUUCUAGAGCUAAUACAUGCUAAAAACCCCGACUUACGAAGGGGUGUAUUUAUUAGAUAAAAAACCAAUGCCCUUCGGGGCUCCUUGGUGAUUCAUAAUAACUUAACGAAUCGCAUGGCCUUGUGCCGGCGAUGGUUCAUUCAAAUUUCUGCCCUAUCAACUUUCGAUGGUAGAGUAGUGGUCUACCAUGGUUUCAACGGGUAACGGGGAAUUAGGGUUCUAUUCCGGAGAGGGAGCCUGAGAAACGGCUACCACAUCCAAGGAAGGCAGCAGGCGCGCAAAUUACCCAAUCCCGACACGGGGAGGUAGUGACAAUAAAUACUGAUACAGGGCUCUUUUGGGUCUUGUAAUUGGAAUGAGUACAAUUUAAAUCCCUUAACGAGGAACAAUUGGAGGGCAAGUCUGGUGCCAGCAGCCGCGGUAAUUCCAGCUCCAAUAGCGUAUAUUAAAGUUGUUGCAGUUAAAAAGCUCGUAGUUGAACCUUGGGCCUGGCUGGCCGGUCCGCCUCACCGCGUGCACUGGUCCGGCCGGGUCUUUCCUCCUGGGGAGCUGCAUGCCCUUCACUGGGUGUGUCAGGGAACCAGGACUUUUACUUUGAAAAAAUUAGAGUGUUCAAAGCAGGCCUAUGCUCGAAUACAUUAGCAUGGAAUAAUAGAAUAGGACGUGUGGUUCUAUUUUGUUGGUUUCUAGGACCGCCGUAAUGAUUAAUAGGGAUAGUCGGGGGCAUCAGUAUUCAAUUGUCAGAGGUGAAAUUCUUGGAUUUAUUGAAGACUAACUACUGCGAAAGCAUUUGCCAAGGAUGUUUUCAUUAAUCAGUGAACGAAAGUUAGGGGAUCGAAGACGAUCAGAUACCGUCGUAGUCUUAACCAUAAACUAUGCCGACU